UUCCUCGCAGAGAAUUUUUUUGGCAGAUUAGUAAAACAUUCAUGAACCAAUCAGAUGGAUAUCUGGAAAGCAGGUGUGCCACAUCUUUUCCUCCUUGCUCACAGGAUGUCCAUAUAUGGUGAGGGAGCUUGGUGCUUCCCUGAGUUUGAUUCCCAGCUCGUGGCGAACGAGAGCGGCUUUACACAAUAAAGUAUCUGUCAUCUCCGCUUGCCUGUGAUAUCGGGAUAACUACACCUUUGUUUCGGCAUCUCACUUUCCCGCCGCUGUUAUACGACUGUCGGGUUGAACAGGGCGUGGGGAGGAAAGGCUUCUGCCAGAUCGCCACUCUUGAAGGUGAAAGGAUUACAGAUACGCUUCUGUGGACGAAUGACCGCUGCUAGCUGGAGCAGUGCUUCCAUUGACCACACGACUCUGGAAAAUGGCACAAUAUGGAAGCCGGCAGAGAUGCGGGCGAAGUGGGAUUCUCUAUAUAGCCGAGAGCUGUGUCCCUGAGGCAGGGAGAUGCAGAUUAGCAGAGCAAGUGAAGGAAGCGCUCCACUCCUGGCAGCUUCCCAGAGGGGCUGAAGGAGAUGUUUAGCUUCUAUAGACGCCGUGCUGAUGGAUAGAUGGAUGGAUGGACGCAAAAGCCGAGCCUCUGCGUUUGGUCUCUAUUCACUGCACAUGGAGAGGAGGAGGAGGCGGGGGUGGAGAAUAGGGUCGGAAACUAAAGGAGGGAUAGAACACUCAUGAAGAAGGGAGGAAGAAAUCAGCACUCUUGAAGCGAGAUGAAAUCCAGACACCUGAAAAGAAAUGGCUGUAUCAGCCUGAGACUGCUUUGGAUGUAUCGCUGGGAAUAAUACAGUGCUGAUGAUGUGCAGAGCUUCGGUGAGCUGCCUGCCGUUUAGACUGUCCUUCCAUAGGUCUGAAUAAAAAGAAAACUCUGACCUGGUCCUUUGUUGGGGAAGCUACUUUGAAAGUACAAGCUGCGAGUUAUUUAUAAUUGAAAAUGGUUCAACCAAAGCCAAGCUUUAAAUUGAGAACAACAGCUGACAAAACAUUGCUAACAACAUUAAAGCUGUUUACGGGGGCAGUGUCUAUUUAGGUAAUGUAUUACCAUAUUAGGGUAGCAUUUAUUCAUAUACCCCAAAAAAACAUUCAGUUAUCCAUAAACAAAUUGACGAUAAAUUAAAGCAACACUGUCCCAAAAGUAAAGUAUAUAAUAGAGUCAAAAAGAAUACUAAUAAACAUAAUGUUAUGCAGAUCAUUCUAUGUUUUUGCAAAGGACAGAUUGAGAAUGAAUUCUUAAAAAAAUCAAUUAAAAGCUACAAUGUUAUGCUUUUUAAAUUACAGUGUCUUCAUUGUGGAGCAUGUGAAAUGCUGACUUAAAAAGAAAAAGGGAAAAAUAGAAAUUUGAAAAUAAAAUCUCCUUUCCUGUCUGUCAUACACCAGGCCAGAACGACUUCUUCAGCUUAAAGUACAAAGUCAGCCGUGUGCUGUGGAUUCAGGCCAGUCUAAUGAAGUCGUAGCAGACUCUUGGGCUGAUAGACCUGUUAAUGAGCUCCGCUCUUGUGAUGGGAGCUCAGGGUAGACAGGGGGAAAAAGGGAUGUACCAGGUAGGCACAAGCACCAUGUUGGAUCAUUAGCGUAAUUUAAACAGAAAAAGGUCUUUGUUUCUCGCCGAAUUGCCAGGGAGGCUGGGAAGGGACCUUGAGGCCCCUCGAAAGCAUUUUGCUGGCAUGCACGUCGAGAAUUGAUUGUCUUUGUUGUGGUAAUCUGAAAUUAAUUUGCACUUGAACCCAUCUUUCUUCCAAGAUCAAUUUAAAACACUAUUGUAAUUAUGUGCCCGGUAUGAAACCGAGAACAGACACUGAUAUGACCAGCCAGCAUAUUUUAAUUCCCCAGGUACUUGAGAGCCUUUUUUCCCCUUAUUCCCUGACUUAUCUUGCAAGGUAAUAAAACAAAAUGUUCCUCGUGCAUAAGCUUAAGGGAGCGGUAUUUGCCGGAGGGGUAACAGUAAUAACCGCUGUAUUGCUACACAUUUACCCAUGUACUCUCUCAGUAGGUCAUCGCUUUUUUUCAAACGAUGUUAAACUUGCGCUAAUACAAGCCGCAGCUGCAAGGACGGCAUCUGACGGCGGAGCUCAGAUGAGUACUCUGCAGUCUAAUCACGACUUUAAUUACGAUAGCCAUUUCAAAUCUAUUACAGAAUACCUGCUAAUAUCUCCAGCUGAUCUUACUGGAGCAUCUCCCUUGUUCUCGGUGUGAGCUUUUUAAUAUUUUUAUCUGAAUGCUUUUCCUUUCCAUCCCUUGAUUAGUGUUUGUAGUGUCAGCUUCAGUAGGACCAUCUUGAGUUGUUUCCUGUUGUGCUGUCAUGUAGCACAAGGGCAGCGAGGUCAUCGCCCUGGGCUGGGAUUCAUCCCGGGCUCCUCAGGCACGGAGAACAAGGCGAUGGGCGGCCAAGACAGACUGCUGAUGACAUUAACAUGCACAGACAUUCCUAGCUCGCCACGAGAGAAGCCUUUGAUUUCUCAAAAAAUUACGGCUUGGAGGAAAGCUGCAUUUGGGGCGGAAUUAGAUUUAUGAAAAUGCGAUCAUUCUCGAAGUGCAUUUAAGCAUGCAGUGUUUUUUUUGUGUCAGAUUCACUUGUGUAAAUGUGUAUCGAAAUGAAGUAACUGUCUUUUGCUUAGAAACACCUUUCAUAUAUAAGAAUUCAACCAUGGGACAUUGUAACUAUUCUACAAGGUGGUGAUUUUGUUUGAUGUGAAUUA